UAGAUGCGAUCUGAGACAGGGUUCUUGUACAAGACCAGGCAGCCGGUGCAAGGCGAAGUCUUACCAGCGGUCAAUAUCGCAGCUAUAUUUAUUACGAGGCUCACCUCCACAAGUUCCAUCCGGUGACCUCCGCAAAACGGGCUCGCGUGGCCCAGGCGGGCCCCACCCCCAAGCCUCAGCACGUUCUCUGAGGCUGUUAGGCGUUGAGAGGCCUCGAGGCCCAGCAGCCAGGAUGGAAAAGGCAGACGGUGGGAAGAGUCCUUCUGGCAGGGCAGGAGGGAAGGUCACUGGGAUCCAGAAGCCUUCGUCAAAUUCUGAUCUGAGGCAAAUCAAACCUCUCAGCUUCCAGAAGUGAUGGAGACAGGCUCCAGAAGCCUGAGGUGAGAGGUUUAACCCUCUGACAGUCCAGCACCGCCGCCAUCAGGAAGCCAGACGCCACAGCCUCUCAGCCCGGGCAACUGGGUGUGGCUCGCCCUGGACACCGCCCGCCUCUGGGUGUGCUUUACCCUGGGCGCGGCCCCGCCCAAGGUGAAGCUCGCCCCAGACGUAGCCCGCCCCCGGGUGGUCGCCCUGGACGUAGUCCCGCCCCCGGGUUUGGCGUUUCCCGGCCGUAAUCCCGCCCCAGGAUGUGGCUCGCCCUGGACGUGGCCCGCCCCCGGGUGCGGCUUCCGCUGGACCUAGCCCUACCCCUAGGUGUGGCUUGCCCUGGGAGUGGCUCCGCCCCCAGAGCGUGCUGGUCGGAACCUCAGCUUUUAAAUUCCUGCGAUCGCUCGUCUGUCCAAAGAUUUCUGAACUCUGCUGGACGUGCCAAACUCUAUUGAGGUUACCCUUCUAUAAGAGGGGAUUAAGAAAUCUACUGAGAUUGGAGUCCAAGAUGGCGGAAGAGUAAGAGACCUUAGUUUCAUCUGUUCCCCGGAAUUCAGCUAAAUCAUUCUGAACACCUGCGAAAUCAAGAGGAGAUCUAAGAAAAGAAUAGCUGCAACUCUACAAAUAGAAAAGUGACCACUUUCUACCAGUAAGCUGCCAUGCUGGAGAAGCCCACGUGACAAGGAACCAACCAGCCCUAGCCAAGAGCCAACAAGGUUCUGAGGAUCCCAGUCCAACAGGCUUUGAGGAACUGCAUCCUGCCAACAACUGUGUGAAUGGGUACAGGAGUUGGCCCUUCCCGAGUCAAGCCUUCGGAUGAGAAUGUAGCCUCAGCCGACAGCUUAAUUGCAGCCUUGAAGCAGAAAAUCCAGAGCAAAUGUGCUGGAUCACAGCCCACAGGACCAAACUCAUCUUGAUUUAGGAAGUGGGAUCCUCUAGCAUCAUGUCUAAUGAGCACAAUUGUGUCUUACCCUGGAAGGUGGUAGCUGCCUGGUCAACAUUCCUGCCACUAACAGCUAUGUGAUGCUUCUGUUCUGCAUUUGUUCUGCAAAAAACGUCAUCAGUCGGGCAGCCUGAAGAAAUGCCCAGCGAAGGGAAGCACUUCCAGUGGGAAACCUCAAUGUCGAGUUUAGCGUGACUCACAUGACAGAUUCUUAAGCAGCAUCUAUGCGGUUCUUCUACCCUACCCCAACCAGCCCAAGAUCAACUGGGACAACACCCUCCCCCAAACACUCCCAUUCAGAGUUCACCCACCUGUGGGAUCCUCGGAUCACUGACUUCUACAUAAUGAUUAAGCUACUGUGUAGUAACAGUGAAGAAAAAACAGUGGCUUAAUCAUUAUUUUCUGAAAACUAUACCUGUCUUUGAUCCUAGAACACUUGCUCUAAAGGGUAUAAAACAUUCAGUGA